rnacentral:rRNA from 1 species
CCUACGGGCGGCAGCAGUGGGGAAUAUUGGACAAUGGGCGAAAGCCUGAUCCAGCCAUGCCGCGUGUGUGAAGAAGGCCUUCGGGUUGUAAAGCACUUUCAGUGGGAAGAAAGCCUUGGGGCUAAUACCCUCGAGGAAGGACAUCACCCACAGAAGAAGCACCGGCUAACUCCGUGCCAGCAGCCGCGGUAAUACGGAGGGUGCGAGCGUUAAUCGGAAUUACUGGGCGUAAAGCGCGCGUAGGCGGUCUGAUAAGCCGGUUGUGAAAGCCCCGGGCUCAACCUGGGAACGGCAUCCGGAACUGUCAGGAUAGAGUGCAGGAGAGGAAGGUAGAAUUCCCGGUGUAGCGGUGAAAUGCGUAGAGAUCGGGAGGAAUACCAGUGGCGAAGGCGGCCUUCUGGACUGACACUGACGCUGAGGUGCGAAAGCGUGGGUAGCAAACAGGAUUAGAUACCCGGGUAGUC